rnacentral:misc_RNA from 1 species
ACAGUUUGGUGCUGUCUGCACUGGUCAAAUUGAUGAUCAGGUUACCCAUGUGGUUGCAAAUUCUCUUGGGACGGAUAAGGUUAAUUGGGCACUUUCCACCGGACGAUCUGUUGUCCAUCCUGGCUGGGUGGAGGCAUCAGCUUUACUUUAUCGGAGGGCAAAUGAGCAUGAUUUUGCUAUUAAAUCUUAAAUUAACACAAUCUCCGUGUCUUGGUUAAAAGAAAACUGAAAAAGGGGAUGAAAUGAAGAAACGGAAACAGUAGGUAAACAGGCAAGAGAGAUUCGUUUUAGUAGGUUAUGCCUAAGAUUGAUUUUGAAGGAAUGCACCCAAAUCCCUUGCUGGGUUUGAAAGUAAUACGGGGUGAAGCUUGUUAUUUAUGAGAAUUGAGUAGCGCGUUUUCUGUUUAAAUGCAUAGAUAACAAAGGUGAUGAAGAAAAAAGGAAAGACAGUUAUGUAGUUGUCCCUUUGGAGACAUGCGAUAAACGUUGAACAAGACAAUACUUGUUUUUAUCCGGGUGGAACCGGGAGGUAGAAUCCCGAAUUAAUGGUGGUGGCAAACAAGCGAUUGUUGAAUGAAUACUCA